GUCAACAGCCAUACCACCCUGAAUGCACCUGAUCUCGGAACCUAAGCAGGGUCGGGGCUGGUUAGUACUUGGAUGGGAGAAGUUGUGGAUGCUCAAGAUA
rnacentral:rRNA from 2 species